CGGCUUUCCCACGAAAUAAAGCAAAGUUGGUGGUAUUAAAGGUGCAUUGGAUGAGAAAAUGCUCCAGGUGAACCCAUGCCCCGUGGUCGGAGACCCAAGGCUUCUUGCAGGGCUCAGCCUGCUUUGGGGACUUGCAACAUGGCUAGACAUCUCUGAAGUUACACUCUAGAGAAUGACCCAACUCUAGGGUCAGCUGCCACCAUGCUAUCUUCAAGAUUAAUGUUUGAAAGAAAAAGGUGGCGGACAUCAAAACUGUUUUCCUGAGUCCUGCGUUGGGCUGACAGGACUUUAUCAAGAGGUCCUCAAGGCAUUGACUGCAUCCUGUCAAAGAGCUGGGCACAUAGUUAUGAGUUCAGUGCUGAAAGAACUUGGGAUUGUCAAAACUGUGUGCUUAUGGAUCCUUUAGCAAACCCCAUGGACUGCUCUCCUGGUGCCUGGAACCAGUUGGAUGCUGAGGGCACUGUUGUGAGUGAGACACAAUGAUAAGAAGGCUGAUGUCUAGUGAGAGAGAGAUCUAACAGUGUGCUUCAAGCUCAUUGUUUGAACAUGGAAACCAAGUUUUGAAGGAAGAACGGGCAUUUGUCCAACUCAGAGCUAAGGCUGGUUGCUCCAAGAUGAAAUAUCACUGACUAUAGGAAAGCUGGAAGAAAGAAGUGUGGCUCAGGAUGGCCAACAGACAGCCUUGGAGUCAGUACAAACAAGUUACCUGUAUUCUAUCCGGGAGAAAAUGGAGGAGACACUAAAGUACUUAAACACAGGACUUCCUGGAAGGCAGAGAUGACAGGGCCUUGAGUAAUUGUCUCCUCACAGAAACACGAACCCAAGCAAGCACUCACACACGAAGCAACUUUCACAUGAGCUAAGAUCACAGGGAUCGCUUUUAGCAUUCUAAGAAAAGAUACACUGAAGGAAGCAGAAAGAAAUGCUGGCCCCGGUGAUGCUUCUCAGACUGAGGAUAGGAAGAGAAGGUCUCCUCUUUGGGGAACAAGCAGAAAUUAAGCUCAGACUUUCAGUGUAUAACCCGAUACCAAACAGAACCCAUAGACUUUGCCUCGAGGCUAGUGACCCUGUCUAAGUAAGUCCUGGAUUUUCAGCCCUGUGGUCCUAAACCUGCAUCUUACCUCCCAGCUAUCUGGAGCAGGACAGAAGUAAGCACAGGACCAGGACUCUGGGUUGGAAAUUAAUAUGGGUGGGUGAAACCAAUCCUGGGUAGAUCCCAAUGAGUCCCAUCUUCUGGCCAAUGCUCAUGGAUAGGGCUUCAGGACGUACCCUAUCAAGGGGAGACCUAUCGCUCCAGCCUGAUGGACUUCUCUGUUGGCUGAAUCACCUGCGUUUGGUUGCAGAAACGUGAGUCAUGAGCAUCGCGCAUCAGGAGGCAGGUCACAGCAGUGUGAAGCUGGUCUUGACUCUGUAUGGCGCUGGCCUUCAGGAUCUGUGGCUCUUGAGCAUGACCAAGCACUGGGUUCUCGGUAACUAUCAAACUGCAUAACUCAUUUAUUUACCCUGGAAUUCAGGCAGCACAGCACAGACUAGUUGUCCAUGUGUGGGGAAGAGAAAGUAGCACCAAGUUACAGAGCCUGAGGCUGAUCCCUCUGCAGUGAGGUCCAGAGUCAAGCAAAGUCUCCUGGUUCCUGACCAUAGGCCAGUGACCGUGAAUGAGACUGGUUCCAUGACGACCUCAAGUGGAGACCUAUGGGGAUGGAUGAGGUCUUCCAUAUCCCCCUGGUGCAUUUAUAACACCAUAUCAGUGCUAGACUGGGGGACUACCUUGGGCUUGGGAUGCCCUCUAGUGCUGAAAUACUGACAGCAUCCCAACCUGGGAUCCAAGAGCAGGAAUCACUCAGGGAAAGAGAAAAGAAGCUGCGUGCUUAAAAUUUCUGGAAGAAAAAGUACAGAUGAAGUUGCAAUGAAUGCCUUGUCCUUCAGUUCACAGAUGGCAAUGUGCUCCAACAAAGAGCAACUUUUUAGAGGUAAUAACAGCUCAAUCAACAAAAUACGGCACCCCAAACUGACACCAUAACAAUCAAUAUGCCCACCCCUAGGCAAAGAGUUCAACACGGUUAUCUUAAGGAACCACAAAGAACUUCAAGGAAAUACAGAGCAACAAUCAAUAUUCUGUCAUAGAAAUUAAACAGAGAUAGAAGGAAUUUAAAAACUGAAAUCCUUGAACUGAGAAGUACACUAAAUGAGAUUUAAAAAAAUGAUAGAUGUUAUCAAUAGCAGAGUAGAUCACAUUGAACAAAGAAUCAGAAAGCUACAAGGCAGGCAGGCAGGCAGGCACAGGACCAGUGAGAUGGCUCAGUGGGUAAAGAUGACUGCUGUCAAGUCUGAAGACCUGACUUCUAUCCCCAGGACAAACAUGGAGGAAAGAGAAAACCAACCCCCACUAGCUGUCCUCUGAUCUCCGUAUACACACCGUGCAUAGUUCACAGUGCUCCCAUUGAAUAAAUCAAUGUAAUUUAAAAUAGUUCCUUCCUUCCUUCCUUCCUUCCUUCCU